rnacentral:sRNA from 1 species
CCGUGAAAGCCAUAUUCAGUUACGCCCUCCGGCUCCCUUUUUCAACUUCUCAUCCUGUCCCUCCAACGCACAUCCUCCUACUUCCAGCAUGUCAAUAAAUGAAAGGAAGUAGCGCCAAACCCGGCCACAAUCAAUCCAUGUAUUAUGUUAUAUAGGGCCUCAGGCAUACCAAAAAAGAAAAAAAAAAAAAGUCACACUCAAAAAGCAAGUCAAGAUUCGAUCUCGGACCGGCUACUACGGGCUACAGUCAUGCACACAUCUCUCGGACCUUAUGACGAGAAAUUUGUUUGCUUCUCUUUCUCCUCGAAGGACUACGAUAUGAG